UCUUGGAGUAGAUCAGUGGGCAG
rnacentral:miRNA from 1 species